rnacentral:rRNA from 1 species
GUGCCAGCCGCCGCGGUAAUACGAAGGGUGCAAGCGUUGUUCGGAUUUAUUGGGCGUAAAGCGCGCGUAGGCGGACCUGCAAGUCAGAUGUGAAAUCUCGGGGCUCAACCUCGAAACUGCGUCUGAAACUACAGGUCUAGAAUCUUGGAGGGGGAAGGGGAAUUUCGCAUGUAGGGGUAAAAUCCGUAGAUAUGCGAAGGAACACCAGAGGCGAAGGCGCCUUCCUGGACAAGUAUUGACGCUGAGGCGCGAAAGCGUGGGGAUCAAACAGGAUUAGAAACCCGCGUAGUCC